GUACCUCCGAACCGCUCCCGAGUUAAAAAAAUGACCUUUCCCUGCAUAAUUUUGGAGGUAACCUAGCUGCGUAAUUAUAUUUGCACUUACAGAAGACUGCAUCAGAGUUCCCUUAUUGGUUUGAAAUUCCAUUAAAUAUAUUGCAAGAGCUCCUAGGUUAAGCUUGAUUUAAAUUUGCAUACAUUUUCAUAUAUUUAGCAGAAAUAAAAGAAGGCUUGCAGCUACCAGAAAGUCAUUAAGGCAUUAGUUUCUCUGAGAAGACAGAUCUGAAGAAAAUUCAAGAAAAUGAGAAAAUAGAUAUAAAUAAGGUGGAGUUGAAUACAAUGCCCGCGUUUGUGGUUAACUGCAGACAAUACAUUAUGAAGAUGAUGGUAUUCAGACACAUACCCACACAAUUUGAGUCAGACAAAUUGGAUGCAAGGCUUUGACCAGCGUGAGAAGGACAGGUGGCUGAAGUGCUCCAACGGGAAGCGUUUGAAGAUGGCAACCACCUCCGGGACUCUCUGUACCCAUGAAGCUGCCAGGGCGGCGGGGAGCUCCAGCUCCAGGGACGCCUAAGGCAUAGCGGAGACUGGCAGCAUUACAGACCUGCUGGAGGAGCUCAGCGGGAGAAGAGCCAGCACCGCACCGACGAUGUGGCUUGAACAGAGGUCUGUGGAGGUCCAGCUCAUUGGAAACUUUUGCGCUCAAACCAGGAGGAUGCUAUAGAUGGGGCUAAUCUGUGAGGUUCUUCAACCCCACCGAGGAUGCACAGAGCCGAUCUCUAAGUCGGUGAUAUCUGCUGCUGCUCACAGGAGACGGCACCGACAGGCUCUUUGGAGUCGGGCCGGUGAAUUCCCAGCCGGGGAGCACAGCCGCUUCUGCACCGUGCAGGUGAGGUACCGAGGGCAGCCUGGGGCUUGCCACUGCCUUCAAGAAGGGUUCAUAUAAUUGUAUUUAUCCACAAAGGGACAGUAAACUCUUUUUUUUUUCAAAUUGUUCUUGUGGCGUGUCAAAAAGUUUUAAUUCUCUGUUUUUCCUCUGUACCUACUACUUGUCUCCCUGCCUCAAUCCAGCUCCUACUUUUGCUCACCUCCAGAGAGCACAGCCAGGUGCUUUUCAGCAUCUCCUCGGGAAAUGUGCCACAUCCGUGGAGCUCAGGAAAGCAGGACCCAUCGGGGCCAGCUGGAGAGAGCUGUCUUUGAUCGUCUUAAUCUCUCAUCCAUCACUUUUUUACUGAAGUUAAAUAAUUCUGAACUUACAUUGCCUUAAAGGGUUUACCUGGCUCAGCAGGUGCCAGGUUUAGGAUGUUUCAGAGGGUUUUUGGAUCAUUUUGGAUGUUUUUUUAAGGUUCGUGGGCCUGAUACAGCCUGUCAGGCAGGUGGACUCCUUUCUACUCUCUGGGCAUGUAACCCUGAAAACACCCUCUCAUUUCUAUAUGUAAGGUGAGGUAAAAAGGUCAGAAUAGACCUGGAUCAUGUUUCUGAAGAUUGGCAGUGUAUAAUAAUUAUUAACAGUUUCUGUAACGGUGCAGGUUACAGACACGGGACCAAACACCUGCAGUGAACCUCCUCAGGCGAAAUUCUCCUCGGCUUCAAUCACGUCUUUUCCGGAGAUGAGACCGCUGGCUGCGCUCAGGGCGAUCCGCCCGCUCCUGGCUUAAGAGGCACUUAUAAUCUACUGCUAAGAGACUUAUUAGCAAUGUAAAAAUGAAUUUGAAGCAAGAAAAGUAUUCUUCCUAGAAGAAAUAUAUUUUUUGUAAAAUUAGUUUUGCUGACAGAAGUAAUUGGGCUAACUCCUUGCGACUACGGAUGUUAUUUGUUGCCCCUUAUCUUACCAAAGCAAAGGGUGCCAAAGACUUUGAACUUUGUAAAUAAUUGUUUCCAAAGUGAUUUUUUUUUCUCUAUAUAAAGUCUUUAGAGAAAAGCUGGCUCCUAAUCCUUUCUCUUCCAAAGCUUUUACAGCUCAGCUUCUUCCCACUCCAGAUAUCUUUUAUUUUCCCUCUUUGUGUUUUAAUAUUUUUUAGAUAUUAAAAAAGUCUCUUUUAAGGGUGAAUCUAGAGCUUUUGCUCAGAUUGGAAAAGUCAUUCCUAAAGCUUUAAUAGAUUGGAGAGAGAGAGAGAAAAAAAAAAAUACCAAAAAGAACUUUAUUUCAAACUGCCACAGAUGCUGGGGCUGGGGCUUGGAGACGAGCAUCUGAGCGCCUGACUGGUGCCCAGAGCAGGGGCCCUGGCCAUCAGCCUUGCCGUUUUUUCUUGCUCCAGGUACCCGGCCGGUGCAAACAGCUGGCAGAAGGGUUGGCCCUUCGCUGGUUGUUCACGUCUUCUGGACUGGAUGGGAGCCGGGAGAUGCUCUGCCCCCUCCGUCCCAGCCCACUGGUGCUCGCUGUCCCCUCCUGUGCCGAAGAGAGGGGCACGGUUUUCUGGCAAACACAAUUUCUCUUGGUUUUAUUUCACUUUUACAGCCACAGCAACAAAUAUUAACCCAGAAACAGGACAGAAAGCUCUCCCAGAGUGCGUGUUAUUAAAGCAGUGUCGCAGGCCUGCAGGAAAUCCGUGCUUAUUAUUUGCAUAAAACAAGCAAACUCACGGAUGUGGGAAAACUGAACUGCUGGAAAAGCAAGACAUGACUUGCUCCAUCAUCCUGGAAAGUUGGACGCGACCGUUUUUACUUACCUGUCUCUCUGCUAUCCAUCUAUUUGUUUACUUAUUUUGGCCAAAGACACAAAUAAUGAGAAAUGUGUGUCUCUAACUGGAGCUGUUACCUUGCCUUGGGUUCCCAAAGGUGACAAGGAUGGGUAGGGCAGACCUGUAGAGCCGAGAAAAAUAAAUGACAGCUUCCCAUGCCUGCAUUGCCACUGGAGCAGGAAUGGGUGUUAAAUUCCAAGCUUCAGCCUAAGGCAGCGACCUAAACCAGGGAGCAGCAAAGCCCAGGCAUCUGUGGGGAACUUCUGCAGUAGCCGGUGCUUCAUAGCGAUCCCAAAGGAAGGAUGCUUGUUGAGACACCUUGUUGAAUCAGACUCAGGGCGAGCACACAAAACCCAGGGUAGGGCUCAUCAGCACUUCUCCUAGUCAAGACCCAGCUGCCGUUGAGGGAUGCCGCCUUGAAGUCUUGUGUUUGUGCCGUGGUGCCAUUCCCCAGCUGUCCUCCAACACCAGGGCGGGGAAAGCAAUUCCUGUUAAGCCCAGCUCUGAGACUUACUUCCUGAGUCUUCAGGUAAGGACUUGAUGGUAGGAUGCUUCCACCAAGACUGUUCUUCCUUCCUCCUCCUCCUCCAAAGCCAGCGGUUUCAGGUCUCAGACGCCACCAGCAGCUCCCCAGGCACUUGGUUGAUGGCUUGCUCGCUGACCCAGCUGAAGCGGGAAGGAAUUGAAAAUCUGCAGUAUUUUUCUUCUGAGAAAACAAAGAAAAGUUUAUGAUUUUUAAGAAAGCACCUCACAGCAGAGCCCAAACGGGAAUGUUUGCCUUCGAAAGCAUCCAUCGAUUCCAAGCUCCAGAGGGAGCGGCUCCUCCGGCUCCUCGAGCCACAGUGGACAGAAGGAGCUGUCAGGGAGCCGCGUGCGGCCGCCGCGCUGGCAGAGAUCCCUUCCGCACAGGGGAUUUCUGCACUGACAAUUUUUGGCUCCUUUAGGUUACUUUGGAGCUGCACAGAAUAUGUAAUGUUCUGCACUCGCAGAGGGGCUGACAGGGAACUUAAAUACAGAUUGCAAAGAUAGAUCAUCUCCCAGCAUCACUUUGUUUUCUGCUGCUCUAAAAUCAUUUUACUUGUUCCUGCAGCUCCUAUAAAGCCAGAAGAGCUCUCUAUAUUUGCUUCCCGGAUGCCUUUUUCUCCUCUGCUUACAACUAUAAAAGCAGCUUUUCAUGCUCCAAAUCAGAGAUAAAUUGAAAUCGCUGCUGAAGAAAUAAAACACAAGGCUAAUCAAAUUGUAGCGCAGGAAGCAGCCUUCAGCCAGUGCAUUUUUUGAGAGCUAUUUUUAGAAUAUAUUUUUAUUUUGUCACUCCAUAUGGGAAGUCAAACCCAUAUGGUUUGGGAGAAUGGAAGGUUGUGCUUUUAUAGAGAUCUCGCAAACCACCCCUGCUCAGCCACGUACUUGAACACGUGCUUAAAUCCAGUUGUCUGCGAUGGGACUGAAGCACAUAAACUCCUCGUGACUGGGGCCUCGGGCGCCGUCUGAGGUUGUAACAGUAUUACUCCCUCCUGAGAUGUAAAACUAUUCUAUAUUCGUCAAAUCAGUCUCCAGUUAACUUGGCUCUCCUUAAUUAUGCCAUUUCUCAUUCAUACACCUUCCUUUUUUUUUUUUAAUUCCUUCUCCACGGUUCGGCUGCCCCAGUGAGUGCGUUUGGUCCAGUACCAGCCGGGAUGCGAAGCUGAACAUCCACAGCCAUCGCUCUCUUGCUCUUUACAGUAGAUGUUGCUACUUCUCAAAUAUCAAGAUUAAUAUUGGUGGUGUUGGGGAAAACGACUGUAUUCUGCCCACAGCCCCAUGGCACCCUCCGAGUACGCUGAUGAAGCAAUAAUUGACUAGAAAAGGAAACAGUUCUCCACUGUUUUUCUUGGAUAAAGGUCACUGGGAUUAGGACCGCACAGUGGAGAAUUCAGCGUGGCAGAAGGAUGGGAAGCACGGAGGUUUCUGAGGCGGUUCGGGUGCUGCUUCCGCCAAGCAGAAGGGAUGUUUUACUAAAAUUGUUGAUCGAAAGUGAGACCUCAUGUUGAUUAUUUUAUUGGAAAGUCAAGCAACAACCACUGAUAUUUUUUUCCCCACAAAUAUAAAACAGAGAUAUUGUGUAAGAGGCAAGAAUGUUAAAAUAACCAAGCACCAGAAGGGGCUGCAAGGAAAGCCUGAGGUUAUAGCAGAAAGAAACUGUCAUAAGUUUUAAAAGAAAUAUUAUGAAGCCAUACUUAGAAUCAUAGAAUCAUUUAUGUCGGAAAAGACCUCCAAGAUCAUCAAGUCCAAACGUAGCACUUCAUCUUCCAAAUCUAUGACCAUUUCGAAAUCAAAAUAACUGCUGUUAAAUUAUUCGCUCAAAGUAGCUUUAUAGUGAGGAAAAACCCUAUCGCUUUUAUCCCACUUUAAAAAAUACAUUCUCUACAGUUUUGAAAUCCCCAAAGACAGUAAAAUAUACCUGGAUUUAUGACGUGUAGGUGUAUUGGAAUUAGAUGCAAGUUGCUGGGUUUUCCCAGAAAUGUUACUUUGGAAUAUUUGAGAAACUCAGCUGUUGGACCAGGCUUUGGGCUGUGUGGCCACUCUGAGGUGGGCUCGUGAUUUUGCUGUGUUUCCUCUACGCCACUCGUCACAGCUGAACAUGGUGGGCCCAGCAAAGCCAACCAAGAGUUUGCCCGUGACUUCAGCGGGGCCCGGAUUUCAUCCCAGGCCGGGAGCAGCUGACGGAGAGUGCCACGGGCUGGUGACCCGGAGCAAUUUCAAGUCAGUGACGUCGGAGUGAAAAAAUUCCGUGUCACAUGAGUGAUCUCAUCGGCGACCCAGGGUACUCGAAUUCCACUUCGGAUUUUCUGCAGAGUUUCUGUUCACAUUGCAACUAUGUAGAUAUCAUGUUAAGGCAGUUUUCUUAAAAACCCAAAGAAUUAAUUUCUUUAAGAGAUGGGUGAUUUGUAGAAGGCAUUUGUGUAAUUUUGCAUUCUAACUGUGAUUUAUAUUUAUAAAUAAAUUUGCAUAAAA